UGGCUGGCUAGGCCAGUGUGCCCUUCUUCC
rnacentral:piRNA from 1 species